ensembl:lncRNA
UAUACUGAGUAUACUGUUAGUAUACUGAGUUAUUUUGUACACACACACACACACACACACACACACACACACACACGAAACACACACACACACACACACACACACACACACACCGAGACACGUGAAAACAAAACUACGCCGACGCACAGCGUGAACGUCCCAUGUUUCUCUGAGCCCCUCUGUCUUUCUCUUCCGCAGAAGUUCCCCAGUGGGAUCCCCUUCCCGCCGGGACUCAAGCCCCCCACCCGUCCGAAGGGCCAGUCCAGCCCCGCGGCUCCUCCCCGGGAACAUUUUACCUCCGACACUCCACCUCCAUCCUACACCGCCGCCACCCACGCCGCGCUGCCAGCCUCGGAGCCUCCCAACGCAGCCGGCGACCAGCCUGCCGGCUCAGCUGAGGUGGAGGACCUGGGCUCUGUGGUGGUGAAGGUCCACUACACGUACACCGUGGCUCUGUCCGUCCCGCUGUACGCGCCGUACCGCGACGUGAAGGGACUGAUUGCACAGAAACUGGGCCAGCCCGCGUCUCAGCUGCGCCUCAGACAAAAGCCACAUGGCUCCCAAGUGCUGAUCCCACUGAGAGGGGAGGCGGAGCCAGACCAAACCAUGCAGGAAGUGGCUGAGGCCGGCAGGGCCACCCUGUGGUGUCAGAGAGAGGACCCCCUGGUCAACUAUACCAUCCUCUACCAGAUGGUGGCGCUCUAUGACUACGCCGCUCAGGGCCCGGAGGACUUGGAGUUCAGCGAAGGGGACACCGUGGACAUCCUCGGGGAAGGUGAGGCCCCCUGCCGGUUCAACCUCCGGCGGAGUGGACAAAGAGUCUCUGAUCUCCGCCGGGCGCGUGAAAGGUUCUCCACACUGCCUCGGCCCCCGCUCAGAUACGUCUCCUUGUGUUUCUCUCUCCCGCACUCCUCCGGCUCUCUGUCUUCUCACUCUUUACAGUUAACGAGGAAUGGCUGGAGGGACACUGCGCGGGAAAUAUCGGCAUCUUCCCCAGCUGCUUCGCCUACAGGGAGGACGCCAACUUCACCCAGGGCCGAGUCCUCGAGGCCGACGAGACACUGUACAGUAAUGCCCAGUGAACCCGUUAACGGUGGCUGUUUAUAGGCCCAGAACAACUGAACCCCCCCUCCCUCUCAGUGCAUCAUUAAGUCAGCACUGAUUUUAUUGAGAUUUAAAAUAACUUCUGUCCCAUAUGGUAUCACCGUAACGUUGCUAUAGUGGCUCAGAGUGAAGGUACACUGGACGUCCAUGAAGGUCCUGAAGAGUACGUUUAUAUUAACUUAAUUUUGACUUUUUAACUUUUCUAUGUCCUAUGUUUUUUUCUCUAUAAUUUUCCUGCGGCAGACGGUGCAGUGGCUAUCACUGUCCCCUCACAACAAGAAGGUUUGAUUUUAUUUUUAUGUAUCUCGUACAAUCAACAACAAAGAAAAAAUUUGAUGAAAACACAAAGAUAAACACAAACAGAUAAAUCACUCCGAUUCGGUCAAAGAACAAAACAAGGAUGCGUUCGAGAAGGAACAUGCAGAAGCAUAGUGCUUAUAUAGUCCUGCCCCAACUUUACAAUAUCAUAUUAUUACAGAAAAAAACUAAUAUAUGUAUACAUACUGCAAGAAUGCAGGUCAUACAACAACAUAUUGUACAACAGUACACUAAACUUAGUUACUAUCUAACUAACUUCCUCCUUUCUAACGGUCAAAUAUUGUUUACUUGGAUGUAUUUUUGAACUGUAUUAUAUUAUGGCUUUGUUUGAUUUCAUGGUUUAGUCCAGUCCACAAGGUCACCGCACAAACUGAAAUACACAUGCUCUUGUUUGCAUGUCGUCCCUCAGUCAACUUAGGUUGAAGUGGCCUUCAGGUGAGAAUGUGGGCGUGGGACCGGCUCCAGCCCCCCACGAACACAACCGAUAAGUGCUAUUGAUGAUGGCUGGAUGGAUGCCUCCAGUAUGAUAUUAAAAUGAAGGUUUAAACUGUUACCAUAUCAAACUUUGUGAUAUUUCCAUUCAAUUUUAUAUCAAAUUAAAGUUCACAGGCUUACGUCCACAGGCUUAUAAUGAAUUUUAAGUGUGUUGAGGUCGCUGUGCACUGCCAUGGGGGCGAACAUUGUAUUCUGAUAUGUUUUCCCAAUGACGUUACUGAAGAUGUGUAAUGUAAUCUCAUUCGUAUCCUUUCAGCUGUGUGGAGUUGGAACGUAAAGAAUGAAUAAAAGUAUCUUGCAAUGAAGGAGGCCACCGAGACACUUGAUUGUGACGGAGCUGGAAUGAGCUGUGCAAACUUGAACAGUGUCCAGGAACUUCAUUACAGUUAUUGGUUGUUCAAAUAACUUGCCAGUAGUUUGCCAAAGGGAAGGAAGGGGACUCAGAGAGUGCAGGGACGCUAAACGCUCUCAUGAGACUCAAUCUGUGAUUUUUUUUCGGUCACUCUGGCCUGAAAUCUGUCUCCGCCAGAGGGUCUGAAAGUGGUCAUGUGACAGGUAGACUGGUGCAGGCGAGAAAAAGUGUGAACCCCUUUGGAUCCAGCUGUUUUUUUGUUGGAUAAAAAUGUGUUAAUCAUCUUAGUACAGACAGAAGGUACAGUACUAUGUGCUUAAAGGUGACAUAUUAUGCUCAUAUUCCGGUUCGUAGUUUUAAUUUGUGUUACCCACUUGAAACAGGUUGACAUGCUCUAAUGUUCAGAAAAGGCAUCAGUGUUCUCACACUGCCCAUUCCUGCAGCUCCUCCUUUCACCCUCGGUCUGAAAGGCCUGGAGUUCAUUUAGCCCCGCCUCCCGAUAAACCCAGUCUGCUCUGAUUGGCCAGCUGGCCCGGACUGUUGUGAUAGGUCCACCGAUUUCAAAAUGUGUAGGAAGUGUCACUCGACCUCACCAGAAAAGUAGAGAUUCUCAGAUUUCAGGCGGGGUUACCCCCAAAAGAGUCCAACUGUGACAUCACAGUGGGAGAGAAAUCUGAACCAGUGGUUCAGAGCCAGGCUGUAGGGUUUAGCCAGCUCACAAAAAACCCGACAUGGUGGUCUUUUUUUACAGUUUGUGGGCCGGCAGGCUCCACAGAUAAACAAACACUGAAAAAGUGAUUUUUUAAUAAUAUGUCACCUUUAAGGUACUUAUAAUAUUGCAUGUCUUUAUUGAAUGCAGCCAUUAAACAUGCACGGCGCUGUUGGAGAAAGUAAGUGAACCGUUAGAUUUUGGACUGUUCUUCCCGCAGAGCUGCGUCAGCUCAGACAUAUUCUGAGUACGUCCGAUGUGUGCAGCUCAUUUAAAUAAGCUCGGAUCUGACUCCUUUUGUUGAAGUUGCUCUGUAGUAGAUUUACCUUAAUGUUACCUUAACCUUAAUGCUGCAUCACCAGCUUCUGCUUGUGAGCAGACACCCGGCCAUUAUCCCGUAAGAUACACUGAUAAACUCCAAUACAUUUCCCCCCUUGAUGUUGGUGAGCUGUCCAGGCCCAGAGGCAGAUGCUUUUCCCAUCGUACUUCGCCCCCGAGAUGAUGUUUUUAUGUAUGACAGCAUUUUUUUUACAUCCCACGUUGUCCAGAAAACAUCUGGCAAACUUCAAAUUCUUCUUUUUUGUGUGUGUGAAGCAGCUGCUUCCUCUGUGAUACACAUGCUCGAUGCACCACGAUUCGAUCGACUCGUGAACAAGGAUCUAUACCAGCUCCAAUGAUUCCCCUUCAGCCUUUAGCUGUUACUCUGGAGCUCUGAAUUUCUCACCUCACUGAACGUUCUGCCUUGGAGAACUAACUAACACAGAAAUUGUGGGCUGACCGAAAUUCUUUCAGAUUAUUCUUGUGUGCUAUUGGUAGAAAACCCUUGCAACUCAUUCUGUCAUUUGUUCAUAUAGGGGAAGGACGUUGCCUGGCACGCACAGAUUUUGUGGAAUCAUUGAUCCAAGGAAUCCGAUUGUCCCUUUACGAAAUUCCGUGGACCAACAGCUCCAGAGACCAUGUUUUUUUUCUUCUAACUCUGAUGGCAUCAGCCUUUCAUCACCACGGUCACAGCUUCAUCUCACAAUGCGACUCCUCUAUAUUGGAAUUCACGAGACGUUAAACAAAGUUGGAUCGAUUGGCGCUCUUCUACUAAAAUAACACCUCAAAACGAAUAAUGUUCAGGCCGUGGCAGCCCCUUAAACCCAGCAGCUAAUAUCAUCUAUGUCCUCCAUAUAUAUAUAUAUAUAUAUAUAUAUAUAUAUAUAAAGAAGAGCAAUAUCUGAGUUCAUGUAUAAAGCGUUAUGAAUUGAGCAAAGAACAAUGACAGUGGAGUAAGUGUAGAGUAACAGUAAUAUUUGUACUAUGUAAUUACUCUUCACCAAUCAAUUAAUAAGACUAUUUGUAUAGCACCUUUCAUUCAAACUAUGUAGCACAAAGUAGCUUUGUAGAAUGAAUGCAAUAAAACCUACUACUUUAAUUUCAUCACACACACACACACUGCAAUGUAAAAUUAGGCAUCAUGACUGUAUCCACUCUGGACAGUGUUCCCAAAAAUAUCACCUUUAAGAGUUAGAAACUGGGGGUUUAUGGGGUAGAGAGAGCGUAGUAGAAGCAGAGGACAUUUAGGUAUUUUUAUCUACACCUAUUUGGACACAGUUUCAUGUUGCGUAAUGACACAUCAAGAUGAGUAAGGGAGGAGGGCAGGACCAGCAAAUUCAUUUCGUGUGAACAGGGUGUAUGUGCGCGCCCUUGUGGAUUUUAGACAUUUUUACUCAAAUCCGUGGCUAUUUUUCGCUUGAUCUCUGCUCCCUUUUCCAAAGCUAAAAGCUACAAAAAUCAAGUCGGCACUUUGUUAGACUAUGAGCACACAUUGAGGGAUGUACCUUUUGCCAACACAUGCAUGCAUUCAGGCACCUCUCACCUCCUCGCCACCGUAUGUCUGGGCGGGGGACUCACGAGAAAGACAGAGCGUCCAAGUCUCUGUGAAUGAGGAGGUAGGAUGGGGGCAGCAGCAAGUUCACCGGCCUGGGCAUUGAAAUGAAAUGUCACGUGCUUUUAGCUGUUUUCACAGAUGGUAGAUGUGGGAAAAAUGGCGAGGUGGGGGGCCACUGGAGCCGCUGAGAGCGCCAUUCAGAUGACUUACGAAGCAGAGGCCUCUAAUUACUGCACUACUCUCCCGGCCCACCGGAUUUCGACGCCCACCUUCCCCGCCGCAGCCACCGGUAGCGAGGAUGAACGCGGUGGGAGUUUUACAUCAGCUCUACGUCGGUCAACAAAUGACUGUUCUCUGCGCGGAGAGGCUGAAGAGAGUGCUUUCUCUUGGCUGGCCAGGACGAGGCAGCAGCAUAUUGUGCCAUUCUUCUACACGCGAAAUAAAAUGUCAAUUGAAAAGCGGACGUAAUGGGAAAAACACAAUCGGGCAGUGUUACAAUUUAAUUUAAUACUGAAGCUGUCUUUUAUCACGCUGGUGAGUUGGGCUAAAUGUAGCCACACGUUUGUGCGUGAGCGUGCCACCAUUUGCUAAUUAGAGGUGAACUCAAAGUACAGUAUCACCGCCCUUGAAAUGCCUGGUUGGCAAACUCCAAGCAAGCCGUCGAAUGCCUCCAACUCAAAGUGGCCUCCCUUCUCGCCACUCUAUACCACGUCGAUCCAUGAAGAGCUGGUGAGAUCUUUGUCCCUCCAGCAGGUUCUCCCAUGUCUGCAGAGGAAGUCCGGAACUCUGUCGGAGUGACCGCUGCCGCUUCGGUCGCCAUCGAGGCCCAUUUUUGGUCAUGCCGGGAAGGGUCCCGGUCGGUUGCAAACUUCUUUAAUUCCAGGAUGUGAUGGAGG